rnacentral:rRNA from 1 species
CCUACGGGAGGCAGCAGUGAGGAAUAUUGGUCAAUGGACGAGAGUCUGAACCAGCCAAGUAGCGUGAAGGAUGACUGCCCUAUGGGUUGUAAACUUCUUUUAUAAAGGAAUAAAAUGAGGCACGUGUGCCUUUUUGCAUGUACUUUAUGAAUAAGGAUCGGCUAACUCCGUGCCAGCAGCCGCGGUAAUACGGAGGAUCCGAGCGUUAUCCGGAUUUAUUGGGUUUAAAGGGGGCGUAGGCGGCCUUUUAAGUCAGCUGUGAAAGUCUGUGGCUCAACCAUAGAAUUGCAGUUGAAACUGGGAGGCUUGAGUAUGUUUGAGGUAGGCGGAAUGCGUGGUGUAGCGGUGAAAUGCUGAGAUAUCACGAAGAACCCCGAUUGCGAAGGCAGCUUGCUAAACCAUGACUGACGCUGAUGCACGAAAGCGUGGGGAUCAAACAGGAUUAGAUACCCUUGUAGUC